UGAAGACACCCUCAAGCCAUCAGUAAGGGAGCCCUAAGAUUAUACACUGAAAUGAAGCCACCUAUCCAAGAGCCACCUGCAAGCUGGAGGCAGGCCCUGCCACUCAUACGAGCUGCAUAGUGCAGCGGAUUGCAUAUUGCUAAAUACCGAUCGUAAGACAUCACCGACAGGAGAAGGCAUUCUGUAGCCACCAUUGAACCAAAGAAAUAGUAUUGUGUGAGGCAGGCACUAAAUGAAAUGGUCCUGUCCCCUGUCAGGAGACCAGCCAGCACCCUGGGAAGGAUGGUGGAAGAGCAGCAGGUCUCCAAGCAGGACAAGUUCCCCAGGAAGAAGUACAUGGGGGUGUGAAGGUGCUGAUCAGCCACAACUAGUGCAAAGAUCAGGACGUUCCCAGUCACGGUUGCAAUGUAGAUGGCAAGAAAUAACAGGAAGAGAAGAGUCUGUAGCUCAGGGAGAUUCCCAAAUCCUCGUAGGAUGAAUUCCAUGAGAACCGUUUGAUUCACUUGCUCUGGGUUCACCAUGAAGUCCAACUAGGGGAAAGAAACCCAAAUUUACAAUGGAAUCCGAAGAAGAUAUAUUUACAUCAUGCUUUAGCAUUAGUUUAGUUCCAUAAAUAUUGCAUAAAGCCCCUCAUCCUGUGGGGUCAGUGAAGAACCAAGACUCUGGAGGCAAAUUUCCUGUUUAGAUCUUUGAGAUUCCAGUAUCACCCCCCUCUGUUCAGUGAAGAGAUCGAUGAAGGCGGAAAACCACACAAACCGCCGUGCAUAUUUAUGUCAAAAUUGGCAGAGCCAUUUUGAAUUAGUUGUUUUUAACUUCAACAAGUGGUCCCCAUGGCUCACCAGGGUGGACUGUGACUUCUUGCACUGCAAACAUAUUAUCAGUUCAGCUAACAGCUAGGAGGCUCUAGUGGACUCAGCCAAGAGCGGGGACAGUGAUCAACAUGCUGUCAAAGCAGGUUACAUUAUUCUCCAUGAGACAAAGU